rnacentral:tRNA from 1 species
GCCUGGGUGGCUCAGUUGGUUGAGCGUCUGACUUCGGCUCAGGUCAUGAUUUCACAGUUUGUGAGUUCAAGCCCCGCAUCAGGCU